CUGCAUCUCAAGGUUAGAUUCAUUCAUAUAAAUAAUGAAAUGUAUCUUUAUCAAUUUAUACAAAUAUACUGAGAGUAACAGACUUAUAAAUGAAGUAUCGAUUUAACUUAUAACAUACUCUUGAUAAUUGCUUGUUAAUCAUCAAAAUAACACUAUCAUCCUCAAUCUCCUCCUUUUUGAUGAUUACAAAAUAAAGAGUAUGAGCCUAUUCAUACUUAUCUUAAAAUUAGUUUUAAAAGGGCUUAACUUGCUGAAAUUCAGCUUUUCAAAAUAUAAGAGUGAAGUCUCCCCCUAUAUCAUUCAAAUAUUGCCAAUUUGACUUUUUGAAUUGCUCCCCCUUUCAUUUAUAAUUCAUUAAAGAUGAAACUCCAAAAAUUUGAGAUAAAACAUGAGUUUCAGAUUAUGUAUCGAGGUGUGAAAGGUGCGUGCCAAAUUCUGAAAUUCUAUGUGCCAAAUUCUGAGAUUUGAUAGAAAUUUUUGAUUUGAUCAUUUUCAUUGUUACAAAUUGCUCCCCCUUAAAUGUAUAUGCUUUCCUAUAUGAUUU
rnacentral:lncRNA from 1 species